GUUGUAUGGUUAAGUAACUAAGCGUACACGGUGGAUGCCUUGGCAGUCAGAGGCGAUGAAAGACGUAGUAACGCGAUAAGCCCAGAUUAGGUAGUAACAACCAUUUGAGUCUGGGAUUUCUGAAUGGGGAAACCCACUUACAUAAGUAAGUAUCAUUAACUGAAUACAUAGGUUAAUGAGGCGAACCGGGGGAACUGAAACAUCUAAGUACCCCGAGGAAAAGAAAUCAACCGAGAUUCCGAAAGUAGCGGCGAGCGAAAUUGGACUAGCCCUUAAGCUUUACACGCGUUAGACGAACGGUCUGGAAAGUCCGACGAUACAGGGUGAUAGUCCCGUAGUUGACGACGUGUGUUCAGUGAAAUCGAGUAGGGCGGGACACGUGAUAUCCUGUCUGAAUAUGGGGGGACCAUCCUCCAAGGCUAAAUA
rnacentral:rRNA from 1 species